rnacentral:rRNA from 1 species
UUUGUAAUCUGGCUGUCUUCGAUAGUCCGAGUUGUAAUCUAUAGACGUGUUUUCCGUGCUGGACCGUAUCUAAGUCCCUUGGAACAGGGUAUCAAAGAGGGUGACAAUCCCGUGCUUGAUACGACCACCAGUGCUCUGUGAUACACGCUCUACGAGUCGAGUUGUUUGGGAAUGCAGCUCAAAAUGGGUGGUAAAUUCCAUCUAAAGCUAAAUAUUGGCGAGAGACCGAUAGCGAACAAGUACCGUGAGGGAAAGAUGAAAAGCACUUUGGAAAGAGAGUUAAACAGUACGUGAAAUUGUUGAAAGGGAAACGAUUGAAGUCAGUCGUGUUCUUUGGAUUCAGCUAGUUCUUCUAGUCUACUUCCAUUGAACGGGUCAACAUCAGUUUUGUCCGGUGGAUAAAGAUAGUAGGAAUGUAGCUCCCUCGGGAGUGUUAUAGACUAUUAUUGCAUACACUGGGUUAUAUUAGGACUCAGCUCGCCUUUUACCGGUCUUCGGUCCCGUUCGAGCUAGGAUGUGACAUAAGG